rnacentral:rRNA from 1 species
CCUACGGGUGGCAGCAGUAGGGAAUCUUCCACAAUGGGCGCAAGCCUGAUGGAGCAACACCGCGUGAGUGAAGAAGGGUUUCGGCUCGUAAAGCUCUGUUGUUGGAGAAGAACGUGCGUGAGAGUAACUGUUCACGCAGUGACGGUAUCCAACCAGAAAGUCACGGCUAACUACGUGCCAGCAGCCGCGGUAAUACGUAGGUGGCAAGCGUUAUCCGGAUUUAUUGGGCGUAAAGCGAGCGCAGGCGGUUUGUUAGGUCUGAUGUGAAAGUCUGCGGCUUAACCGAAGAAGUGCAACGGAAACUGGGAGACUUGAGUGCAGAAGAGGAAGGCGGAACUCGAGGUGUAGCGGUGGAAUGCGUAGAUAUAUCGAAGAACUCCGGUGGCGAAGGCAGCUGACUGGUCUGCAACUGACGCUGAGGCUCGAAAGCGUGGGUAUCGAACAGGAUUAGAUACCCGUGUAGUC